rnacentral:rRNA from 1 species
GAUGAACGCUAGCGGCAGGCCUAAUACAUGCAAGUCGAGGGGUAGAAGAGGCUUGCUUCUUUGAGACCGGCGCACGGGUGCGUAACGCGUAUGCAACCUACCUUCAUCUGGGGGAUAGCCCGGAGAAAUCCGGAUUAAUACCGCAUAAAAUCACAGGAUGGCAUUAUCCAAUGAUCAAACAUUUAUGGGAUGGAGAUGGGCAUGCGUGUCAUUAGCUAGUUGGCGGGGUAACGGCCCACCAAGGCGACGAUGACUAGGGGAUCUGAGAGGAUGGCCCCCCACACUGGUACUGAGACACGGACCAGACUCCUACGGGAGGCAGCAGUAAGGAAUAUUGGUCAAUGGAGGCAACUCUGAACCAGCCAUGCCGCGUGCAGGAAGACUGCCCUAUGGGUUGUAAACUGCUUUUAUUCGGGAAUAAACCUUAUUACGUGUAAUAAGCUGAAUGUACCGAAGGAAUAAGGAUCGGCUAACUCCGUGCCAGCCGCCGCGGUAA